rnacentral:rRNA from 1 species
GACGAACCGUGCGAACGUUGUUCGGAAUCACUGGGCUUAAAGGGCGCGUAGGCGGGCGGCCACGUCUGGGGUGAAAGCCCCCGGCUUAACCGGGGAAUCGCCCCCGAUACGGGCCGUCUCGAGGGGGGUAGGGGCGCGCGGAACUUCCGGUGGAGCGGUGAAAUGUGUUGAGAUCGGAAGGAACGCCGGCGGCGAAAGCGGCGCGCUGGGCCCACCCUGACGCUGAGGCGCGAAAGCCAGGGGAGCGAACGGG